UAACGCGUUUCUUCAAAAAAAAGACUUUUUCAAAUGGAUUUCAAUCCAUUUGAAAAAGUCUUUUUUUUUGACGAAACGUGUUA